GGCAUUUACUUCCACUGCUGGAUUAUCUUCAAACUCAUCCUAAUGAAUCCCUUGCUAGCUCAGUGCUCAGAGCGCCGUUGCACAUUAUUUUAGCAAUCAUGUUUUAUUCAAAAGCAGCAGAGUCACACCGGAAAAAAAUGACAAAAGAAAGUAUUCUUUGUUGCAUGCAGACCAAGAUCAUGCGGAAUAUGUCGGCUGAUGAUGAAUCCAUAUGCGAUGUGAUGGUUCAAAGAGGAGAGGAUCGAAACACGUGACACCAGGGGCAGUUUUCAAACAGGAAAAAGCGAGCCGGUCUGAACUCCAAGAUGCUUCACCCUCUCCCACCCGGAGACUGUGUUUGUCUGCGCUCCAGUGAGCCUCAAUCCCUUGGUCUCCAUUACUCCUGCACUGUUUUAUGCAAUAAUGAGCUGUGUGGAGACUGAAGAGGCCUGUUUCUGGCAGCGUGAACACUGCUCCAACUUUAUCCUCAAGGAUUGGGUUAAGCUUAACAAACCAUUUGAUGGUACACUCACUGACUCGCUUCUUUGCCUUCUUUACCGUUUCUAGUACAUAAGGCAGAACCUCCUCUGGAAGAUACAUAUAGAUUUUAAGUACAGUAUUGAUGGGCACAACAGUAUUUUGUGAUAACUGGGUUUGCUCAAUGAAAUUUAAGUAAGUGUGUUGCAUCCAGUCAUCAGAGCUGCGCGAAAAAUGUAAUGACAUUGAGAAAAAAAAGCAAAAGAAUAUAUAUUUAUAGUAUGUUAUAGUAUUUAGUAAAUUAAAUAAGCAAUUUAAAAUGUGUAUUUACCCUUUAAAAAAACUUGUAGUCAGCCAUUUAGGUAUUCUCACUUCCUGGCAGGUCCUGUCCCCAGUGUGAAAUUAAUUGCUGUGAAGUUGUCAUGCCAAUUUCAAAAUGUUAUUUUCAGAUCAGAUCUACACUGUCUUAAAAAAUCAGAGCCAUGCCAAGCCAAGCAGAAAAUAAUCUGUAACAUCACACAAUCCAUGAAGGACACUGAUUUUCACUUUGAUGCCGUUUGAUGCUGUUUGAUUUUGUUUGUUUGGAGCGUGUGUCCGUGUACCCGUCUGUUUGUAUGUAGGCAUGUGCAUCUGCAUGCCCUGCACAUGAGAUAGAUUUGUCUUCUAUUUUUUGAAUUCUGAAGAAUUGAGUGUGACUGAGGAGCAGCAAAAGGUUACAUUUGGAAAACAAACUGUAUGACAACAGCGCUCUCUUUUGAUAUUGCAAUUGGGAAUCUUCAAAUGCAACCACACAAAGAGGAAGUGAAAGGAGAGAGAGAGAAGAAGAAAAAAAACAAAAACAAAGGAAAGGCAAAAUUGAAGUUGUCAGUUUGUACCUGAGUUGUCCCAAACUAUCCCAUUCUGCAGCCUGGUGGGGGUUUCUGUCAGCUGGCAGCCUAUCUGUCACUGCCACUCCAUUUCUUUUCCUGGGCUUUUAUACACUCGAUCUCAGGGUCUGGGCUUGCAAUGAUGGCACAGUAAAAUUAAGGGGCACAUGACAAAUACAUUAAAGAAUCAUUAAAAUCAUUGACAGAGGAAAUGAUAUAUGUACUCUUUUGUAUUUUAAUAAGAACCUACAUAUAGAUACUUAGAGAUGUUGUUCUUUUGUGUGAACGAUAUUCCUGAGGCAGAUUUCUUUAGCUCAACCCACUGUAGCGUGUAACAUUGCAUUGCUAUUUGUUUUUCUUUUCCUCUCUUUGAAGACUUUCUCAGGCUGAUACAGAACUCCAAAAAUCCCU